UGGGGAAUUUUGGACAAUGGGCGCAAGCCUGAUCCAGCCAUGCCGCGUGCAGGAUGACGGUCCUAUGGAUUGUAAACUGCUUUUGUACAGGAAGAAACAGUUCUACGUGUAGAACCUUGACGGUACUGUAAGAAUAAGGAUCGGCUAACUCCGUGCCAGCAGCCGCGGUAAUACGGAGGAUCCAAGCGUUAUCCGGAAUCAUUGGGUUUAAAGGGUCCGUAGGCGGUUAGAUAAGUCAGUGGUGAAAGCCCAUCGCUCAACGGUGGAACGGCCAUUGAUACUGUCUGACUUGAAUUAUUAGGAAGUAACUAGAAUAUGUAGUGUAGCGGUGAAAUGCUUAGAGAUUACAUGGAAUACCAAUUGCGAAGGCAGGUUACUACUAAUGGAUUGACGCUGAUGGACGAAAGCGUGGGUAGCGAACAGGAUUAGAUACCCCCGUAGUCCCUGAGCGGGCUGGCAAGGCGCAU
rnacentral:rRNA from 1 species